AACAGGAUUAGAUACCCUGGUAGUCCACGCCCUAAACGAUGUCAACUAGCUGUUGGGGCCGUUAGGCCUUAGUAGCGCAGCUAACGCGUGAAGUUGACCGCCUGGGGAGUACGGUCGCAAGAUUAAAACUCAAAGGAAUUGACGGGGACCCGCACAAGCGGUGGAUGAUGUGGAUUAAUUCGAUGCAACGCGAAAAACCUUACCUACCCUUGACAUGUCUGGAAAGCCGAAGAGAUUUGGCCGUGCUCGCAAGAGAACCGGAACACAGGUGCUGCAUGGCUGUCGUCAGCUCGUGUCGUGAGAUGUUGGGUUAAGUCCCGCAACGAGCGCAACCCUUGUCAUUAGUUGCUACGCAAGAGCACUCUAAUGAGACUGCCGGUGACAAACCGGAGGAAGGUGGGGAUGACGUCAAGUCCUCAUGGCCCUUAUGGGUAGGGCUUCACACGUCAUACAAUGGUCGGGACAGAGGGUCGCCAACCCGCGAGGGGGAGCCAAUCUCAGAAACCCGAUCGUAGUCCGGAUCGCAGUCUGCAACUCGACUGCGUGAAGUCGGAAUCGCUAGUAAUCGCGGAUCAGAAUGUCGCGGUGAAUACGUUCCCGGGUCUUGUACACACCGCCCGUCACACCAUGGGAGUGGGUUUCACCAGAAGUAGGUAGCCUAACCGUAAGGAGGGCGCUCACCACGGUGGGAUUCAUGACUGGGGUGAAGUCGUAACAAGGUAACC
rnacentral:rRNA from 1 species